CGCCUGAUGCCACAUAGCUGGUAGCUAUAUGCUCUGACCGGUGAUGCUAUGAUCGGGCGUAAAGAAAGCUUCUUCUGCGCUUCGCAUGUAUAUAGGAACCUGUGGAUUGGCUUUUUCAUCCGUUCACAGAGCCGUUUUGUGCGAUUAUAUUU